rnacentral:rRNA from 1 species
GACGAACGCUGGCGGCGUGCUUAACACAUGCAAGUCGAACGGAAAGGCCUUUUCGGAGGUACUCGAGUGGCGAACGGGUGAGUAACACGUGGGUGAUCUGCCCUGCACUCUGGGAUAAGCCUGGGAAACUGGGUCUAAUACCGGAUAGGACCGCACUUUAGUGUGUGUGGUGGAAAGUUUUUUCGGUGUAGGAUGAGCCCGCGGCCUAUCAGCUUGUUGGUGGGGUAAUGGCCUACCAAGGCGGCGACGGGUAGCCGGACUGAGAGGUUGGUCGGCCACAUUGGGACUGAGAUACGGCCCAGACUCCUACGGGAGGCAGCAGUGGGGAAUAUUGCACAAUGGGCGCAAGCCUGAUGCAGCGACGCCGCGUGGGGGAGGACGGCCUUCGGGUUGUAAACUCCGUUCGCCAGGGACGAAGCGUUUUGUGACGGUACCUGGAGAAGAAGCACCGGCUAACUACGUG